rnacentral:rRNA from 1 species
UGGUGGGGACGAUUAUUGGGCCUAAAGCAUUCGUAGCCGGCCGGACAAGUCCUCUGUUAAAUCCACCGAUUCAAUCGGUGGACUGCAGGGGAUACUGCUCGGCUAGGGGGCGAGAGAGGCCGACGGUAUUCUCGGGGUAGGAGUGAAAUCCUAUAAUCCCGGGAGGACCACCAGUGGCGAAG